AUGCAAGUCGAGCGGACAGAUGGGAGCUUGCUCCCUGAUGUUAGCGGCGGACGGGUGAGUAACACGUGGGUAACCUGCCUGUAAGACUGGGAUAACUCCGGGAAACCGGGGCUAAUACCGGAUGGUUGUUUGAACCGCAUGGUUCAGACAUAAAAGGUGGCUUCGGCUACCACUUACAGAUGGACCCGCGGCGCAUUAGCUAGUUGGUGAGGUAACGGCUCACCAAGGCGACGAUGCGUAGCCGACCUGAGAGGGUGAUCGGCCACACUGGGACUGAGACACGGCCCAGACUCCUACGGGAGGCAGCAGUAGGGAAUCUUCCGCAAUGGACGAAAGUCUGACGGAGCAACGCCGCGUGAGUGAUGAAGGUUUUCGGAUCGUAAAGCUCUGUUGUUAGGGAAGAACAAGUGCCGUUCAAAUAGGGCGGCACCUUGACGGUACCUAACCAGAAAGCCACGGCUAACUACGUGCCAGCAGCCGCGGUAAUACGUAGGUGGCAAGCGUUGUCCGGAAUUAUUGGGCGUAAAGGGCUCGCAGGCGGUUUCUUAAGUCUGAUGUGAAAGCCCCCGGCUCAACCGGGGAGGGUCAUUGGAAACUGGGGAACUUGAGUGCAGAAGAGGAGAGUGGAAUUCCACGUGUAGCGGUGAAAUGCGUAGAGAUGUGGGAGGAACACCAGUGGCGAAGGCGACUCUCUGGUCUGUAACUGACGCUGAGGAGCGAAAGCGUGGGGAGCGAACAGGGAUUAGA
rnacentral:rRNA from 1 species